rnacentral:rRNA from 1 species
GGGGUAGAAUUCCAGGAGUAGCGGUGAAAUGCGUAGAUAUCUGGAGGAAUACCAAAGGCGAAGGCAGUCCCCUGGUCCGAUACUGACACUGAGGUACGAAAGCGUGGGGAGCAAACAGGAUUAGAUACCCUGGUAGUCCACGCCCUAAACGAUGUCGAUUAGCCAUUGGAAGGACCCCUUUUCCUUUCAGUGACGUAGCUAACGCGUUAAAUCGACCGCCUGGGAAGUACGACCGCAAGGUUAAAACUCAAAGGAAUUGACGGGGACCUGAACAAGCGGUGAAUGAUGUGGAUUAAUUCGAUGCUACGCGAAGAACCUUACCUACCUUUGACAUGGCCAAAGUUCUACCGAGAGGCGGAAGUACUCGUAAGAGGAUUGGCGCACAGGUGCUGCAUGGUUGUCGUCAGUUCGUGUCGUGAGAUGUUGGGUUCAGUCCCGCAACGAACGCAACCCUUAUCUUUAAUUGCUCCUAUUUUAACAGGCACUUUAAAGAAACUGCCAAUGAUAAGUUGGAGGAAGGUGGGGAUCACGUCAAGUCCGCAUGGCCUUUAUAGGUAGGGCUUCACACGUCAUACAAUGGUUAGAACAAAGAGCUGCAAAUUCGUAAGAAGGAGCCAAUCUCACAAACCUAACCUCAGUUCGAAUUGCGGUCUGCAACUCGAGCGCAUGAAGCCGGAAUCGCUAGUAAUCGUGGAUCAGAAUGCCACGGUGAAUACGUUCUUAGGUCUU